CUCUUACAGCUCAUCUUCAUUAGUCAAGGGGACAGAUGCAUUGAGGCAUGAUACACGUCUUUCCCAUGACAAAAGCAAAUGCCACCAGCACUGUAGUGCUGCACAGAGGGCAAAAGAACCUAACACACCAACGCCAGCAGUUGUUCAAGGAGUUCAAAAAAUGGAGCAUGCUUUGUUUGAAAAAAUGAAGAACAUGAUGUACACAGCCUACUAUAUUGCAAAAGAGGAGCUACCUUUCCACCUUCCCCUCUCUUCAUGAGCUCAUCCAAAUAACAGGUGGAAAACUUGCAGACUGCUAUGACUCUGACAAAGCUUGUGCUCGAUUCAUAAGCAUCAUAUAUGACAUGGAGAGGGAAAAACUAAUGGGGACUUUAAAGAAGACCAAGUAUUUUUCCAUUAUGAUUGAUGGGGCAACCGAUGCAGGCACAAUCGAAAAUGAGCUGCUCUAUGUCAGAUUCCUGGGAGAAAAUGGGCCAGUUAAUGCCUACCUCUCUAUUCAGGAUGUAAAACAGGGAACUGCUGCUGGAAUUCUGCAAGCCAUUUACACAGCAUUUGAAGAAGCAGAAAUUUCUGACUGGAGGCCCAGGCUGGUGGGAUUUGGCAGUGAUCGAGCAGCUGUCAAUGUAGGAUGCAGGAAUGGUGUGUCAGCCCAACUUUUGAAGGAUAUUCCUCACCUUAUAUCAGUUCACUGUGUUGCUCAUCGCUUGGAGCUUGGUGUUAUGAAAGCAAUUAAAGAAGACUGCAACAUGACGAAACUUCAGACCACCUUGAGACAGAUAUAUGAGCAGUACCACUACCCCCCAAAGCCCUCAGAGAGCUCCACCUAAUCGCUGAGGCUCUUGAGGAGAAGGUACUCAAGCCAACUAACCUGCACGGAGCUCUAUGGCUGCCAUGUGUGCAUCGUGCAACAAAGAUUUUAUGUGACAGCCACCCCAUCUUUGUGGCCCAUUUUGAAGACCUGAUGAGUAUGGAAAGGAACCCCAAACCAUCAUCGACAGUUGUAGGACGGGCAAAGCAAGUUACCAAAUACCUGCGUAACAUCAACAAUGUCUUGUUCCUACACUUCAUGUGUGACACACUGGACCAACUAGCAGAAUUAAGCAGAGUUCCAGAAAGACGCAUCCACUAUCUGUCAAGCUAUCGAGAGCACUGAGAAAUGCUUCUGUAACAUGACUGCCCUAAAAGCAGAAAUGGGCAGGUGUUUGAGUCGUGUUUAUGAGGCAGUAAGAAAGAAUGGGAAAUACAAAGGAGUGAACUUUCCAGGUACAUCACCACCAGCCUUGAAGGAAGAGCGAGCAAAGGUGAUAGAUGCCAUCAUCUCACAUUUAGAGGAGAGUAUGAAGGACUUAGAAAGAGACAGUCCCAUCAGCCGUUUUAGAGCAUUUGAUCCAUCUAGCUGGCCCAAAUGUGAGAAAUCAGACCUCAGUGCUUGUGUGCAGUUCGGGGAGAGUGGUCAAGAUGAUGUCAAAGGCUUAACAGAGCACUUUAGUGGUCUUCUGUGUAGGGAGGGAAUUCGCACUGAGGAUAUUCUGACUGACUUCCAGAGUUACAAGGCAUUUGCUCAGAGCAGAUCAGCUGUCCCUAUGAGGGACACAUUUUUGAAUAUCCUGAUGUCAGGUGUGUUUAGUGCUGCACUGACAUUCAACCCUUUAUUAGUUCAUGGUAGGGCUGUGCCGAUAAACGAUAUCAUAUCGAAUCGCGAUGGAAUGUAUUUCAAAAACGAUGAUAAGCUAUUGGCAUUUUGACUCGAUAUGGAUUAAUCUUACAGUCUAACAGAACGCAGAAAUAAACGCAACAACAGUCAGUCAGCGUGCAGCUUUUAUCGCGUCAAAGUACAAAGUCCAUUUCAUACUGCACUUGGCAAAGAAAACUCAACAUGGAGGAAAACAUUACUGGAAGCGGAAACAAAGGUGAAACUAACCUCGAGUUGUCAUCACGCGGUUUAUCAAGUGUCUUAUUUUUUUUUCGCAAUCGCCGGUUAAACAAAACAAACUUGAGGCGCAAUUGCAAGCGAGUUACUUUGAAACUCAAGCACAAACGUUUUUAUAUCCAUCGUUUACAAUAUCUGCUAACAUGAGCUGGUGCUUAUGAAACAAACCAGCGCUGCCCUGUACAGAUUAGAGAUGUAAUGAAGUGAGAUUAAAAUAUUGAGCCUUGUAUGUAAGAUGCUUGCAUGAUUAAAGAAAUGUACUACAGUUUAUGUGAGAUGUCUUUUUGAAAGACUAAGGUUCACUGAAUGCAUUGAAUGAAUCCCACUACUCGAGCAAGACAUUAUUGCAGCGUUAUGUAUGUGCGCAGGUGCUGAGCCAAUAGCGUUCGAAUGUACACAGUAACGGAGCCCUUUCAUUGGUUGAAUGUACUGAAUGAACACU